AACACAUGCAAGUCGAGGGGCAUCACAGAGAUAGCUUGCUAUCUUGGGUGGCGACCGGCGCACGGGUGAGUAACGCGUAUCCAACCUGCCCAUUACUCAGGGAUAGCCUUGCGAAAGUAAGAUUAAUACCUGAUGUUGUUUGAUUGCCGCAUGACGAUCAAACCAAAGAUUUAUUGGUAAUGGAUAGGCUCGCGUGACAUUAGCUAGAUGGCGGGGUAACGGCCCACCAUGGCGACGAUGUCUAGGGGUUCUGAGAGGAAGGUCCCCCACACUGGAACUGAGACACGGUCCAGACUCCUACGGGAGGCAGCAGUGAGGAAUAUUGGUCAAUGGUCUGACGACUGAACCAGCCAUGCCGCGUGAAGGUCACGGCCCUAUGGGUCUUAAACUUCUUUUGCAAGGGAGCAAUAAGCCUCACGUGUGGGGCGAUGAGAGUACCUUGCGAAUAAGCAUCGGCUAACUCCGUG
rnacentral:rRNA from 1 species